rnacentral:rRNA from 1 species
UACGUAGGGUGCGAGCGUUAAUCGGAAUUACUGGGCGUAAAGCGUGCGCAGGCGGUUCGUUGUGUCGGCGGUGAAAGCCCCGGGCUUAACCUGGGAAUGGCCGUUGAAACUGGCGAGCUGGAGUGUGGCAGAGGGGGGUGGAAUUCCUGGUGUAGCGGUGAAAUGCGCAGAUAUCAGGAGGAACACCUAUUGCGAAGGCAGCUCGCUGGGACGUGACUGACGCUGAGACGCGAAAGCGUGGGGAGCAAACAGG